AAAAGCUGGGAAACAGAUCAUUUCUCAAAGUCAGUUUGAAACUUUAAUGUUAAGAUGGUAUCACAAGGAAAAUUAUACUGGACAAAGUUGAGCAGUCAAGGAAGAUUUUAUUCAAGACAACUGCAAUAGGCUGGCAGAGCCGGAACUCAGUCUGAAUUCAACUCCUCUGAAAUAAGGGUGGGAUUGAUUCUAGGAGACAGAGUGGGGAGAAUCAUAGGCCAUCAAUGCUUGCUAAUUGGCUUUCCUCCAAAGAAACGUUUGCAGGAUGACCUCAACCAGGGAUUGAACUUGGGCCAUGACACUGAAAGCUCUGAGUCCUAACCAAUUGGACUCCCAAGGAAUUCCAGUUAGGACCCCCACGUGUCUCCAACUACAAGCUCACACCAGUCUUCUGAGACCAAAUGGGCCCUGCUUCAGAGGGGUUCUGCUGCAGAAGCUUGCCUUGGCAUCAAACCUCACUUUUCUUUUCAUUAUGCUUAAAAGGAUCAAAAUUUUAAAGCAAAUCAUCAAUAUGUGCCUGGCAAGCAGGAGUGUCUUUGGGGAACUACAGGACAAGCUAUUUCAGAAAAUCUUGAAUUUUUGAUCAUUGUAUUCAUGAUAUUUGCUGAAAUAUAUGUAGAUAUACCCCUUC
ensembl:lncRNA